AACUAAGUCAUUACUUUUAGCCAACUUUUUCAACCAUUACAUGUUAUAGUGUUCAGGUGUUACAGCUGACUCAUUUAGUGGAUAUAACAAAGAAAAUGUGUUGAGUUUCUCUUUAACUCUUCCAGUGACCCCUUCACAACUGCAGACGUAACCCCCUCACAGGUGUACACCGCAAUAUCUGUAGGAACACUGGCCUUGACUCAUUAUGUAAAAAGGAGCAUGAAGAUGUAUUUGAGAGGGAACUUGAGAGAGCCUUUGAAGAAGUGAGUAAAGAUGAUUUGACAGAAAAUGGCAGAAGCAUAUAUCUACACUGUAAGGAGCGAUUUUGGGGAGCGGUAAAUAUUAUCUAUGUAAAUCGUAUCAAAUGUACUUGAUUAUUGUUGUCAGCCAAGGAAUUAUAAAGUAACGGGUAAAUUAUACACUUACUACCUCUUUGUUAAGAGUAAAAACUAUUGCAUAGAGAGUAAAUAGGGUAAAAUAUACCCAGAAGCUGAGUCCCGUGUUCCGAACUGCGCAUGCGCUAAACUGAGCGGGACUUGGACCGUUAACUUCCUCUCAUUGCCACUGCUCGCCGCCAUCCGCCGCUGCGCUCACGGACCGGACUGCAAAAAGGAAGGAAUGUGAGGACCAUACAGACAAAACAAUGAAGGUGAUUGUGCAGCACAGUGUCAUGGCUGAGGAGGAUCCAUCAGAUGUGUCUAUUGUGAUUGAGGGAAACACCGUGAUGGAAGAAUGUGGAAGUCGAACGAAGGCAUGUGUUCUGCUGAUGGGACUGAUAUAUGCCCUCAACCUCGAAUAUCCACAGCAGCUGAAGAACACGUUUGAAACAUUUCAAAAACUUUUUUUGGAGCUUGACGCAGCGAAACUACAGAAGAAGGUCCACAGCCUCAAAAGUAAGCUCAUGCAAUAGACAUUCCCCUUCUUGUUCCAAGAGGAUCUGUACACAGAGUUGUGAUGGAGUGUGAUUUUAGUUUUCUUCACUGCUGCUCUCCUCCCUACCACACACACACACACACUAACACACACGCACACACACACAAGUUGUAUGUUGUGCAGCCUCAGCCCACUCCCUUGCUGCCUGAUUUCCCCAGAUUGACAGAGAAGGAACACCAAUAGAAAGUGGCUGGCUUUGUCAAUACCCUCAGUUUGUUUUAAAUAUGUUGGUGUUCACCUGUUCUAUUCUCAUCUAAAUGUUUGAUAGAGUAUAUGCACAGGAACAUGGCAGACUUUAUGUGUGGGCUUUUGACUUUUAAAAUAUAAUAUAAGUCACCUCUUGAAAGUGUUGUCUGUAUUUGAGGCAGUUUAGUUAUUUGUUGUUUGUUGUUGUAUUGUAUUGUGGUUGUUGUAUAAAUGUACUUGUACUGCAGAUUUGGUGUUAAGUUGUAAAGCUAAAGAGGCACGAGUUUGGAUACAAGAAAAUCUUGUUGUUACUGGACAUCCCUUGGAGAUCUGCUCUCCUGAUACUUCUUCAUUCAUUUCCACUUCUCUUCUAUCCUCUGAUCUUGUCACUUUUUCUUUUUGAUCAAGCUGGAUGUGGGAAGAUGCAUUUGUCAUCAAGAAACAUGAAGUUGUUACUUCAGUGAGAUUUGAAACAUGUUUAUACCUUGAAAAGCACUGUGAGGCUUUAUUCUGUGUUUUUGAUAAUUGAUUAAAAACAUUGUGAUGAUCA